rnacentral:tRNA from 1 species
GCCGAAGUGGCGGAAUGGCAGACGCGGCGGUCUCAAAAACCGUUGAGGGCGACCUCGUGUGGGUUCGACUCCCACCUUCGGCACCA